AUAAUGAUAAUGCUAACAUUGCGGAAGAAAAUUACAAAAAUCUCUGAAUAGAGUGACCAACAGAUUUACAAAAACGGAUUGAAAUUAUAACCGAAUAAGCUGAUAAACAGCCAUAUUUAUGCUGAUAAAACUACGUAACACUGUAAAAUCUACGAAUUUUUUGCUGAUUUGGUAUUCACAACCUCGGAAUUUUCAUGAUAAUUGGGCUACGUCUCCCCUCAAUUUCUGUUUGAAGAAAGUGGUACGUGAACAACGGAGAAUCUUAGCGACCAUGUGUAGAUUAAAGACUAUACUAGCAGAAAAGUGCUAGAUGAUCCUCCAGUAAAAUAUUUCGGACAAAUGUAUUUCUUUGUUUGCGGUUUGAAAUGCUGGAGAAACAAUAACAAGACUCGGAAUCUUUAAAAGUCAGUACACAGUCGAUCGGCUGUUGCAGGACGAAAUUUUCCGCUGAUAACAAUUUUGUACAAGGAGACUAUUCAUGAGGAUUAGAAGAAUAUCAGCAACAAGAACAAGCCUACCGAUGGAAAAUAGAGUAAUGAACUUGUGUUUCAUUAACUACUGGAUGGAUUCAUAGAAUUGAUGUUCGUAUUAUAUGUUCUGUAUAAGUUUUAAAGCAGGUAUGAAGAAUCAAGCCAUAUUAUAAAUAGAAUAGUCCGCAUUGAGGGCGAAUCAUCAAUUAUG